rnacentral:rRNA from 1 species
CAGUAGCCGCGGGAAUACAGAGGGUGCGAGCGUUAAUCGGAUUUACUGGGCGUAAAGCGUGCGUAGGCGGCUUCUUAAGUCGGAUGUGAAAUCCCUGAGCUUAACUUAGGAAUUGCAUUCGAUACUGGGAAGCUAGAGUAUGGGAGAGGAUGGUAGAAUUCCAGGUGUAGCGGUGAAAUGCGUAGAGAUCUGGAGGAAUACCGAUGGCGAAGGCAGCCAUCUGGCCUAAUACUGACGCUGAGGUACGAAAGCAUGGGGAGCAAACAGGAUUAGAUACCCCGGGUAGUCCCUGUCUCUUAUU